rnacentral:rRNA from 1 species
CAGCAGCCGCGGUAAUACGGAGGGUGCAAGCGUUAUCCGGAUUCACUGGGUUUAAAGGGUGCGUAGGCGGGCAGGUAAGUCAGUGGUGAAAUCUUCGAGCUUAACUCGGAAACUGCCGUUGAUACUAUCUGUCUUGAAUUUAGUGGAGGUAAGCGGAAUAUGUCAUGUAGCGGUGAAAUGCUUAGAUAUGACAUAGAACACCAAUUGCGAAGGCAGCUUGCUACACUAGUAUUGACGCUGAGGCACGAAAGCGUGGGGAUCAAACAGGAUUAGAUACCCUGGUAGUCCACGCCCUAAACGAUGAUUACUCGACAUCAGCGAUACACUGUUGGUGUCUAAGCUAAAGCAUUAAGUAAUCCACCUGGGAAGUACGAUCGCAAGAUUGAAACUCAAAGGAAUUG